ensembl:snRNA U6 U6 spliceosomal RNA
GUGCUCGCUCUGGCAGCACAGAUACUAAAAUUGGGAUGAUCCAGAGAAGACGAGCCCGGCCUCUACACAAAGAUGAUCCAUAUAUUUGUGAAGUGUUCCACACAUAA